UGUAGCUCAGAGGUAGAGCCCUUGCCUAGCAUGCAGGAGGCCCACAGUUCAAUUCCUGGCA
rnacentral:tRNA from 1 species